ACCGGCUGCUCAGCUGGCAAUUAGAGCCGGUGCCUCCCUGCUUUUUCUGUCAACCUGGAAAGCAAGGGCUGGCGGCUCCUGGUCCCGUGUUUCGUUCUGCUCUAACUUUCCCUCCAUCUUUGGAAAACUUUGCUUGCUGAUGGCAUCUGUGAAAGCACCAGUGCUGUGUGCUUGUGUGCCGGCUUCAUUUGCACAGAAAAAACGCUCAGCUGAGACACAGGUUUGACUUUCUGUCUGGGCCACGGACCUCCUGUGAGAUUCUGCUCAGGUCCCAGUGACAUCUACAAGGCAAACUGUGAUCUCCUUGGCCUGUGAAUCAUCGCUGAUAAUGGAGAUCCUGCAGGCUGACCCCUGCUUUUGUCAGCUGUACAGCACCAGUUUGUGGAUGCACCCAGAGAGAGCUCGCUGGCACUGUGGCAAGAGAAAUGAUCUCUUCCUUCUGCAGCACAGCCCGGGUGGAAUCACCUGGGAGGGAUGCUCUUAUGGACAGAACAAGGCGGUACAGUUCACCUUUGCUGUCCCUGAAAGGUACUCCUACCUUUUCCAGCCUUUUCCUUCCUCUUCCUUCAGGUUCAUGCCUUCUCCUAGCACAACAGCCAGGCGAAGUCUGAGCUUCCUCCCUCGGAACUGGUCGCUGUCUGACCCCUGUGCGAUGGUCUUGACCAAUAAGGGGAAAAUUUUGGCUGAUUUUUCGGUCUCAACAUCUACUUCUGCUUCUCCCUCUGGAGUAUCAGCAUUGUGGCCUCCAUCUCCUGCUCGAUUCAGAACCCAGGUGAGCCUUGGCUUAAUCUGAGCAUCAGUGUCCUCUCUACUGUGGUAAUAAGAGCAUCGCCCUUUAUCAAAGAGAAGAUGGUAUCAAAAACUGUGGGGUGCAGUAGUGGACAUGGGUAAUGAACGUUGGAGGGUGAGAGCAUUUGUUGGGAAGAGCACUCAGGUGAUCCUGGAGCCGGUGAAGUGUCUUGGGUCCUCUGCCUGCCUCAGUUACAUCCGUCUGGAGCAGCUGAGGGUGUGUUAUUUCCUCGCUCUGCAUCUCCCUUCCAGCCAGGAUAACAACACCUUGUGGGGGUGAGAGUGGAUGUUCAUUGGCAUUUGUCAUCGGCUCGACUGAAAGCACCCUGGGGAGCCCUAUAAAUAAGUGAGGGGAUGUGAUUCAGCAGCCACUGGAGGAGAAGCAGCUGCCACUAUGUCCAUUUCAUGAUCACUUCAAAAGCCUGAACUCUUUACUUGGUUUGUGUUCUUGCAUUAAAUUUGCAAGAGGCCCCUCCACAAGUGGAGCAGGGGAAGGCAGCCUGCUGUGCCUCUGGGAAGGAUGGUGUGGAAGGAACCACUGUGGAAACGAUGCAGCCCCUGAGACUGAUUGCAGGAUCCACCACUGCACCCUCGUUCCUUAUUGAUGUGCACCUGCAACACCUUGUGUUUCUUUCUUCUGUUUGCUGUGGUGGGUUUUCCUGACGUCUGUUAUUGCUGGGCAGAGAGAGGCAGUAAAAGAAAAUGUUUAGGUCAGGCUUGUGGAGAAGCAGCCAGGUGUCUGGAUGUGUUAUCAAGGUAGCAGAUGCUUUUGCAUCCACAAACUCAGUGAUGAGACUAAUGUGAGACUGAGUGAUCCGAGCAAAAAGCACAACUGUGUACACCUCGAGGCUCUGAGCAGCAAAACUGCAGCUUGGAUUUAGGUUUAGAUUGCCAAGUUCAGCUUUGCUCAUUUAAUUCACCCGGUGCUUUGGGACAUUAUUGACAGUCGUGCUUUUGUAAGGCUGUGUGGGCUUGCAUCUGCUGAGACCUGCUGAAGUGAAGGUCCUUUUCUGUGUGCACAUUGAGGGAAAAAGUGUCUGUGUGUGUAGGAACUUCUGUCUGUUCUCUGUAACAUUUGUGUGGUCUGUCCUCUGCUAAAAUAACCUUAGUGAAGGCCUUGGCUUUGUCUCUGUUUGGGAGGAGGGAUGUCUGUCUGUCCCUUGUGAAGGGUGUAAAUGCCCCCACAGUUGGAUGGGGUAAAGGGUGCUGAGCAGUUCACCAUCUCCCCAUUGAUGAAGGUGGGAAGAUGUUUUGUGGGAAGGGGAAUCAGCCCUUCUGCUUUCGAGUCAACAAAUCACAAAAAAAAACAGGUAAAAAGAGGAGGAGAAAAAGACAGAAUGAUGUAUUUUUGUGCACUCUCCCUUUCCUUCUUCAUUCCUUUGAGCCAUUUUUAACCCAAGCUAAUUCAGCUGGAAAUAUUAAUAACCCUAUAAGGACGCCACCUCCUUGUAAUGAAGUGUAAAGGUCACUUCUGCUCAAAUCACACAACUCUUUCAUUUUGUUCUCUGCUAGGAACAGCUCCUCUCUUUAAUUAUUCAGUUUGCUUUUAUAUUGCAGUUGCUGGUCUCUUGUCUCUGAUCUCUGACACUUCCCCCAUUACACAAGACCCCAGGAGGCUGGGCAGUGUGGCCUGAUGGGUCACAGAGGGGACCUGGAUGUUGUGAGCAGCAGUCAGGAUUUGCCUAGGGGAUGAAGGAGAGGCUGGAUGUGGAGAAGAAGAGUUGAUUCUUGGGUUUCAGAGUUAUUUCUUUGAUGAUGUGAGUCUGCUGGUGUUUCUGCAGGGUGUGGGCAUUGGAAAAUAUGUUAAUUUUUUUGUUAAAUCCCUAUGCAUGAGGUGCCACUUGAUGUGAUGGAAAGAAGUGGGGCUGGAGGGGACCUUUCCUCUGGGAUCAGCUGAUGGGCGCUGUGGCAUGGGAAGUGAACUCUGUCGAGAGACCCUCAGAUGAAGCAAAACCUCUCACAUCAGAUCAAGGUCCUCAGUCCUCAGGUGUCUCUUGGCCCAUGGUGUCCACAGCCAGGGAGAACAGAGGGAGAAAUCCCAGCUGCAUGCUGUGAAUGUGAGCACUCCUGGGACAGGCUGUGGGACUCACCAGCACAAAAAAGGGGGAUGAAUUUAGGGAAAGCCAUUCUCUAGGGAUCAGUCUGGAGUCACAUGCAAGUUCUCCCUGGAGAGAUGCCCAAGAGAGGGCUGGGGAACAGGGCUAGCAGGAGCACCCAUUGCCCCCAGAGAGGCUUUGGUUUAGCAGGUCCCUUCCCACUCCGUGCUGGCACCCAGAGUGUCUUCCCGGGAAAACUGCAGCAUCCAAACCACCUGCUCCCUGCUACUGUCCCAUGUGAGAGCAGCCCCCAUUGCCCUCCACCCCGGGCCCUUGUUCAUGUGUCUGGAGGGUGGGGGGCCCUGGCUGGGGUGGUCAUUUCUCCCUACUGGGACCACCAGCCUUUGCUUUCCCAAGGGUGCAGUGGGGACUCCCAGAGCAUGGGCAGGGAGUCAAGGGACUGCACAGGAGUCUGUGAGGUCCUGUCGGAUCUCCAGGGAAGGGAAGGGGAUAUUUUCUGUUGGAGCAAACACAG